rnacentral:tRNA from 1 species
GGGGCCGUAGCUCAGUUGGGAGAGCGCCUGCUUUGCAAGCAGGAGGUCGUCGGUUCGAUCCCGUCCGGCUCCA